UACAGAGGUCUCAAGCGUUGUUCGGAUUCAUUGGGCGUAAAGGGUGCGUAGGCGGCGCGGUAAGUCGGAUGUGAAAUCUCGGAGCUUAACUUCGAAACUGCAUUCGAUACUGCCGUGCUUGAGGACUGGAGAGGAGACUGGAAUUUACGGUGUAGCGGUGAAAUGCGUAGAUAUCGUAAGGGAGACCAGUGGCGAAGGCGGGUCUCUGGACAGUUCCUGACGCUGAGGCACGAAGGUCAGGGGAGCAAACGGG
rnacentral:rRNA from 1 species